rnacentral:lncRNA from 1 species
GCUAAAACUCUGGGAUUUCCUCUCUAACCACAACCUUGCCUUUUCUAUAUCUUCCUUCCUUCAAGACCCCUCUGUUGUUCUGGUCCAUAAAUCCAUCAGGCCUCAUUGAAUUCCCUCUUUGGUCUAACCCUGUAUUUACCCACAUUAGCAAUAUUCUCACCGGCAAUUCCUUUUUCCUCUUGCCAUCUCACUACACCAACCAUGCUUAGCUAACUGCAUCCCAUCCCCUUGUCAUUCAUUGCAUCCCCAAGAAGAGCAAGUCUUAAACCUACGUGAAGAGCACAAAUUCAAUCAAUUUAACCUCACCUGAAGCCUACUCACUUGGACUUUUUAAUUUCUCCAAUGUUGACUCAGUGUCACAUUCUGUGCUUGAUAAAUUUGUUUUAUUUUCCUUUCAUGUUCAUGUCCUGUCUUUCAACAGGCAAUCUUUCCUACUGUGUUUGCAAGAAAAUCUGAUUAUUGAAUCCUCACAUAUGCUGUCCUCUCUGCCUUUAGAUUUCUCUUGUCUUUCACACAUCUUUUCCAUCCUUUCUCCCAACCAAGUGCUCCUCUUCCCUAUGCUCUGACCUCUUCUGAGGUGCUCUCCAGCCAAUUGUAUUUCUCUCUUUUGCAUCUUUAAUUCCUUCCACACAUCUACCUGCAACUAUCUCAAAAACACCCGUCCUACAACUAUCUCUAAAGACAAAUCUCUCAAUCCAAUUUGACUCUUGAAUUUCUGUCCUAUCGCUAUCUUUUCACUUCCCAACUUCUCAAAAGGGUAGUCUUUCUUUCUCCACUUCCUCACCUUAUGCUCAUGGCUUCAUCAAUGGGCUACACCCUACCACUCUUCUGAAACUACUCUCAGGCAACGUUCCAAUGAAGUUCUUGUUACAAAAGUCAAUAGCCUUUUUUCUUUACUUACC